UACAGAGGUGGCAAGCGUUGCUCGGUAUCACUGGGCUUAAAGGGCGCGUAGGCGGUGCUGUACGGUUUCGGUGAAAUCCCUCGGCCCAACCGAGGAACAGCCGGAGCUACGGCCGGACUAGACGGCAUCAGGGACAGUGGAACUCCCGGUGGAGCGGUGAAAUGCGUAGAUAUCUGGAGGAACACCGGUGGCGAAGGCGGCAUCCUGGACCAACACUGACGCUGAUGAGCGAAGCCAGGGAGCAAACGGG
rnacentral:rRNA from 1 species